rnacentral:rRNA from 1 species
UACAGAGGUGGCAAGCGUUGUUCGGAAUUACUGGGCGUAAAGGGCGCGUAGGCGGCCUCGCAAGUCCCGUGUGAAAUCCCUCGGCUCAACUGAGGAAUGGCACGGGAAACUGCGGGGCUUGAGUUCGGGAGAGGGAAGCGGAAUUCCGGGUGUAGCGGUGAAAUGCGUAGAUAUCCGGAGGAACACCGGUGGCGAAGGCGGCUUCCUGGACCGAUACUGACGCUGAGGCGCGAAAGCGUGGGUAGCAAACAGG